CAGUCGCCGCGGUAAUACGUAGGGUGCGAGCGUUAAUCGGAAUUACUGGGCGUAAAGCGUGCGCAGGCGGUUCGUUAAGACAGAUGUGAAAUCCCCGGGCUUAACCUGGGAAUGGCAAUGGAUACUGGCAAGCUAGAGUGUGUCAGAGGAUAGUGGAAUUUCCGGUGUAGCAGUGAAAUGCGUAGAGAUUGGAAGGAACAUCUGUGGCGAAGGCGACUAUCUGGGCCAACACUGACACUGAGGCACGAAAGCGUGGGGAGCAAACAGGAUUAGAUACCCCGGUAGUCCCUGUCUCUUAUAC
rnacentral:rRNA from 1 species